AAAUCUUAACUUCUUUGGUUUUACAGAUGUUGGUGGAAUUGAUUGAAAUCUUGAUUCCUCCCUGGUUUGAACUGCUCCUUUUUCCCCCUUGGUGGAAUGUGCUGGUACCCCCUUGGUGGCUUUCCGGAAAAACUAUUCCGAUGUCUUCUUUCCCAGGUAUUUCAAGAAGUUUUUUGGCUGUAAUCACCCAUAAAUUGAAUACUUUGGAUUUGGAGGUUAUGUUUCGUUUUUUUGUGUCUAAAUACAAGAAUAUUUCUUAAUCUACGACGGAAAUACGAACGGAUUUAUCAUUGAUUAAAACAUUUUUACAAAUAACGACGAAAUUUAUGAGAACUAUAACAAACUUUUAUGAAAUUUUUCAACGAUCAGCUUUAACUAUCCUCGGUAUAUCAACUUUGAUAUCAAUACAUUUGAAGAAGUACUAAUAAACUCUCUAGGCUCUCGAUUUACAAGGAUUUUUCUACGGAAUGCCAUUAUUUUCUCUUUAUUGUAAUUAUUUCUUAUAACAAAACUAUUGUUUAUUAAUUAAUUAAU